ensembl:lncRNA
GUAUAAACCACAAGUCUGAACUCUAAAUCACACAGGUGUAUGGGAACUGUAUAAUCACAGCCUGACCCUCUGUUUGACCACCUGAGGCGAGUGCUGAGUCAGCUGCAGGGGCACAGGUGAUGGCAGUUUCAGCUGAGUGACCGGAAGGGGUGGACCCUGGCUGCAGCCCUGCUAGACCCCAUGUAAGGGCUGACUCCCAAGGAGGAAGGAUCUCUACCUGGAGGUCACCCUUAGUGGAGCCCUUCUGCGCGCCCAGGGUACGGGUGAUUUGGCUUUGCCUUCCUUGGCUUUUUGGAACUUGGGAAAAGGUACCGAGGUGCAUGGAUAUGGAGAAGAAAAGCUCUCCUGCUGUGGCUGAGAGGUGAUCCAAAGGAGGCCUCCCGAGCAAGCACCGCAAAGGCAGCUUGCUUCUCCAGAGGCUGCAGCAUAAGCUCGUGUUCCUUGCGGAGGACUCCGUUGUGCAUCUGCAGGAGCUGCUUUGGCAUGGAGGAUUUUGUGGAGUUGCUGCCAGUCGUUGCUCGGAUGAAGUGAGGCUUUUGUCCUUGUAUCUGUGCAGGAAAGCAGUGCGGAGGGAACGUGUGUGGUGAGAUGCUGAGGAGAGAUUGCCUUCCUUGCCCCAGCAGGCUGCUUGUGUCCUGGUGAUGCACGGUGACGAGAAGGCUGCUGUUCUGAACAGCACAAGGCAACAGAGAUGUUGACAGCAGCGGUGGUGAUGGAGAUGUUGAGAGUGGAGGAGCUGUUGGCUCGCUGCAGCCACCCCAGCAUUCCCGGAGCUCCCUGCUGGCCCCGGAGGAGUCCGAGUGCUCUGUGCUGGAAGAAGAGGAGUCGAGGCUGCUGGAGACAUCAGGGCUCAGUGGCUCCGUGGCAGUGAUGCGCUGCAUCAGCUCUUGCGUUUGGCAGCUGUUUGCAGUGGCUUUGGUCCCCUCUCUUGUGACACCGGGCAGGUCCUGCUUGUGCUGGGGGACCUCCAGAGCCGCUUCUGAAAAAGCAAGAACAUCCCCCCGAACGAUGAUGGCAGCCUUCCCACAGCCACUCGGUGCAGGCAGCCACCUCUGGGGGUCACCUCUGCGGAGCACAGUCUCACCGUCAAUCCAGUUCCAAGCAGGUGGGCUCUCAGUGUCUUGCAAGUGCCAUCUAGCAGCAGCAGGUCCAGCCAGGAGGCACAGCACCCUGCAACCUCCAGGGGCCUUUGUGCAGCAGCAGAUGUUGAUGCCCUAGAAGCACGGUGCGGAGCACAUCCUGGGAUCAAGGUGCCACGGACUGGAAAAUGCUGCUGUGGCGGAGUUCCUGUGUGAAGACAAAACUCCCAGUCCCCCAGAAAUGUGGAGGCAGAAGAGCAGUGACAAGGCAUUGUGAUCAACUUAAAAAAGGAACGCAUGAAGAAUAGCUUUGUUUGCAUUCUGGUAACUGCUGAGGCUUUGGCUGAGGACAGCUUUCAGCUGCACCUGAACUAGGCUGGAUUUGUCUCCUGCUCUCCAUAGGUGAGUAUUUCUCUUGCAGACCUUUGAAUCAAUGAUUCCCCUGCUAUUUGUCUCUUCUGGUUGCUGGAGAGAAGAGCUCCAAUGUCACAUCCUGAUCCGUAAGGUGAUCGAGCUUGGUGAUUGUCAGUAAUUCAGGAUAUGCUUGCUUUUCUUGAAGUGAACUAAGGGAUAAGCUAUCAUGCUGUGCCAUUUCUUUUCCUGUGCGUAAUGCCAAGGGAUAGGGCUGCAGGUGCCUGCUGGUUCACGGGACAUGCCAGAGCUUUGUACACAGCUUAAGUGAUGGAACGGGAAAGACUCCAGUAUGGUAACAACGUGAUUUCUAGUGUUUUGGUACGUAUAUUCAAGUCAGUAUGGGUCCAUUUCAGACAGCAUCGUCACACAUCUGUUUGUUGUGUCAUAUCAAACGCAUUUUUACUAAUUUGACUACAUACAUACUCCACCCAUAGUUUGCAUCUUGUCUUCUUAGGGUGAGGUUUGCCUGCUGAACAGCAAGACAAAAGGAGCUUAAAUUACAGAAGCAGAGAAGCAAAGACAGCUUAGCGGCUCAAUACAGUACGGAUCAGUUAGAGCAUUACUUGGAAGUUGUUGUGUUCUGGGUGUUAGGUGGGAUGAGACACGGGUGUGAAUGUUACAGCCAAGUGUUUUUCCCUUGUUCAUUGUUCACCUGCUGCCAUGCAAGCCAGCUCUUCUUUUCCCUGCCUCUGCUUUUCUUGUUGCAUGCAUAUGCAUCGCAAAAUCUCUGAACAGAUUUCUUUUCCCGUUUUAACAGUGUAUAGCUAGAAGUGGGGCUUAUCUCAGCCUUUUGUCUCAUCAUCUGAUGGAGAUUGGUUGUGUAUGGGGGAGUUUGCACGAAUUAUUAGCAUCUCACCAAAAGCAAGGAACAGAAAAAGAAAGAAAAAAACACCAAACUACCCUAAAAGCUGCAUAAAUGACUAUAGCUGAGCCAGCAGGAAAUAUUACCUGCAGUUUGCAGAGUCCUCGUUUUGCUCAGCACUGACUGGAUGGGGUUAACAGUGACCACUAAUGAAGGAGCUCUGCUACCUGUCUCAGCAGUGCUCCAGUCUUUGUUGCUGCGUUAUGAAUGCACUGCUCCUCCUGACACAUUGCAGGAUUCAGGCUGGGAGCAGGUAUGUCAUCACCUGACUUGACCACAUGUAACUUGAUGCUAGAAGUACACCACGUCCUCCCUCCCUGCAUGGCAAGAGAUUGCUCUCUUCUCCUGCAAAGGCAGCCAAAGUAACUUCUGUGUGCUGACUAGAGAGAGAAAACUUGGUGUCACUCCUCGCAAGUCCUGUGGCAGCCAGAUACUGUGUUAGCCACUCACAGGUAGCAUGUCUUUGGUAUCAG